rnacentral:rRNA from 1 species
UGCAUGGUUGUCGUCAGCUCGUGUCGUGAGAUGUUGGGUUAAGUCCCGCAACGAGCGCAACCCCUAUCUUUAGUAGCCAGCAUUUUGGAUGGGCACUCUAGAGAGACUGCCAGGGAUAACCUGGAGGAAGGUGGGGAUGACGUCAAAUCAUCAUGCCCCUUAUGAUCUGGGCUACACACGUGCUACAAUGGUGACUACAAAGAGAAGCAAGACUGCGAAGUGGAGCAAAUCUCAAAAAGGUCAUCUCAGUUCGGAUUGUAGUCUGCAACUCGACUACAUGAAGCUGGAAUCGCUAGUAAUCGCGAAUCAGAAUGUCGUGGUGAAUACGUUCCCGGGUCUUGUACACACCGCCCGUCACACCAUGGGAGUCUAAUAUGCCCGAAGUCAGUGACCCAACCGCAAGGAGGGAGCUGCCGAAG